rnacentral:rRNA from 1 species
UACGUAGGGGGCAAGCGUUGUCCGGAAUUAUUGGGCGUAAAGAGCGUGUAGGCGGCCAGAUAAGUCCGCUGUGAAAUCUCGAGGCUCAACUUCGAGCUGUCGGUGGAAACUAUCUGGCUAGAGUCCGGAAGAGGAGAAUGGAAUUCCUGGUGUAACGGUGAAAUGCGCAGAUAUCAGGAAGAACACCCGUGGCGAAGGCGGUUCUCUGGGACGGUACUGACGCUGAGAAGCGAAAGCAUGGGGAGCGAACAGG